CUACGGGACGCUGCAGUCGAGAAUCUUCCGCAAUGGACGAAAGUCUGACGGAGCGACGCCGCGUGCGGGAUGAAGGCCUUCGGGUUGUAAACCGCUGUCAGUGGGGAGGAAAUGCAUCAGGGUUCUCCCUGGUGUUUGACCGAUCCGCAGAGGAAGCGCAGGCUAAGUUCGUGCCAGCAGCCGCGGUAACACGAACUGCGCGAACGUUAUUCGGAAUCACUGGGCUUAAAGAGUUCGUAGGCGGCCUUUCAAGUCGGGUGUGAAAUCCCUCGGCUCAACCGAGGAAUUGCGCCUGCUACUGUUGGGCUUGAGGGGGAUAGGGGUGAGCGGAACUCAUGGUGGAGCGGUGAAAUGCGUUGAUAUCAUCAGGAACACCGGUGGCGAAGGCGGCUCACUGGAUCUCUUCUGACGCUGAGGAACGAAAGCUAGGGGAGCGAACGGGAUUAGAUACCCCCGUAGUC
rnacentral:rRNA from 1 species